GUACUUCCUUCAGCAGCACAUACGUUAAAAUUGCAACAAUGCAGAGAAGAUUACACGAUCCCUGCACAAGGACGACAUGCAAAUUAGUGAAGUGUUCCUUAUUUAA